rnacentral:rRNA from 1 species
GUGCCAGCAGCCGCGGUAAGACGGAGGGGGCAAGCGUUGUCCGGACUCACUGGGCGUAAAGGGUGCGCAGGCGGCAGAGCGCGUCCGCGCUGAAAUCUGUUGGCUUAACUGACAGGCGCGUGCGGAUACGGCUCAGCUCGAGGCACGGAGAGGGUGGGGGAACUCCUGGUGUAGUGGUGAAAUGCGUAGAGAUCAGGAAGAACACCCGUGGCGCAAGCGCCCACCUGGCCGUGACCUGACGCUGCGGCACGAAAGCGUGGGGAGCGAACCGGAUUAGAAACCCUAGUAGUCC